CAAAAACAUGGCUCUUUGAAUUUUAAUUAAAAAGAGUCUGGCCUGCCCGGUGAGGGAAGCCUUAAACGGUCGCAGCUACCACUGUGCGAAGGUAGCGUAAUAGGUCGUCCUUUAAUUGAGGGAAAGUAUGAAUGGUCGAAUGUUGGAAAUGCUUUAUUAUAAAUAUUUGUUGAAAUUUACUUUUUUGUGCAAAGGCUAAAAUUGUUUUAUUAGACGAGAAGACCCUAUUGAGCUUAGUAAAUUUAGAUUAUAUUUUAAUCAGGAUUAUGUUUUUUCGGGGCUGAAAAGAAGGGAAAUUAUGCCUUCUAUCUUACUAUAAGGAUCCGGUAUGGCUGAUAAGUGGAAGAUAGCUACCAUAGGGAUAACAGCGCAAUCUUCUUGAUAAGGCCAUAUUUAAGAGAAGGUUUGCGACCUCGAUGUUGAAUCAGAAUUUCUGUCAGGUGUAGCAGUUUGACUAGUGGGACUGUUCGUCCUUUAAAAUUUUACGUGA
rnacentral:rRNA from 1 species